rnacentral:rRNA from 1 species
GAUGAACGCUAGCGACAGGCUUAACACAUGCAAGUCAGGGGCAGCGAGGGCGUAGCAAUACGCCUGUCGGCGACCGGCGCACUGGUGAGUAACACGUAUGCGACCUGCCCCCUACAGGGGUAUAACCCGUAGAAAUGCGGACUAAUCCCCCCAUAGUCCCGCGGGCUGCAUGGCCUGCGGGGGAAAGGCCAGCCGGUAGGGGAUGGGCAUGCGGCGCAUUAGCUAGUUGGCGGGGCAACGGCCCACCAAGGCGACGAUGCGUAGGGGUUCUGAGAGGAAGGUCCCCCACACUGGUACUGAGACACGGACCAGACUCCUACGGGAGGCAGCAGUGAGGAAUAUUGGUCAAUGGGCGCAGGCCUGAACCAGCCAAGUCGCGUGAGGGAUGACGGUCCUACGGAUUGUAAACCUCUUUUGUCGGGGAGUAACGUGCGGGACGGGUCCCGUAUUGAGAGUACCCGAAGAAAAAGCAUCGGCUAACUCCGUG